UGAGGAAUAUUGGUUAAUGGGUGCAAGCCUGAACCAGCAAUCCCGCGUGAAGGACGACUGCCCUAUGGGUUGUAAACUUAUUUUGUAUAGGGAUAAACCUACCCUCGUGAGGGUAGCUGAAGGUACUAUACGAAUAAGCACCGGCUAACUCCGUGCCAGCAGCCGCGGUAAUACGGAGGGUGCAAGCGUUGUCCGGAUUUAUUGGGUUAAAAGGGUCCGUAGGCGGACUUAUAAGUCAGUGGUGAAAGCCUGUCGCUUAACGAUAGAACUGCCAUUGAUAAUGUAAGUCUUGAGUAUAGUUGCGGUAGCUGGAAUAAUUAGUGUAGCGGUGAAAUGCAUAGAUAUUACUUAGAACACCAAUUGCGAAGGCAGGUUACCAAGAUAUAACUGACGCUGAGGGACGAAAGCGUGGGGAGCG
rnacentral:rRNA from 1 species